UCUCAGUUCGGAUCGGAGUCUGCAACCCGACNCCGUGAAGCUGGAUUCGCUAGUAAUCGCGCAUCAGCCAUGGCGCGGUGAAUACGUUCCCGGGCCUUGUACACACCGCCCGUCAAGCCAUGGAAGCCGGGGGUGCCUGAAGUGUGCAGCCGCAAGGAGCGCCCUAAGGUAAAACCGGUGACUGGGGCUAAGUCGUAACAAGGUAAC
rnacentral:rRNA from 1 species